rnacentral:rRNA from 1 species
GAUGAACGCUGGCGGCGUGCCUAAUACAUGCAAGUCGAGCGAACAGAUGAGGAGCUUGCUCCUCUGACGUUAGCGGCGGACGGGUGAGUAACACGUGGAUAACCUACCUAUAAGACUGGGAUAACUUCGGGAAACUGGAGCUAAUACCGGAUAAUAUAUUGAACCGCAUGGUUCAAUAGUGAAAGACGGUUUUGCUGUCACUUAUAGAUGGAUCCGCGCCGCAUUAGCUAGUUGGUAAGGUAACGGCUUACCAAGGCGACGAUGCGUAGCCGACCUGAGAGGGUGAUCGGCCACACUGGAACUGAGACACGGUCCAGACUCCUACGGGAGGCAGCAGUAGGGAAUCUUCCGCAAUGGGCGAAAGCCUGACGGAGCAACGCCGCGUGAGUGAUGAAGGUCUUCGGAUCGUAAAACUCUGUUAUUAGGGAAGAACAAAUGUGUAAGUAACUAUGCACGUCUUGACGGUACCUAAUCAGAAAGCCACGGCUAACUACGUG